rnacentral:rRNA from 1 species
CGAGCGCAACCCUUGUCCUUAGUUACCAGCACGUUAUGGUGGGCGACUCUAAGGAGGACUGCCGGUGACAAACCGGAGGAAGGUGGGGAGUGACGUCCAAGUCAUCAUGGCCCUUACGGCCUGGGCUACACACGUGCUACAAUGGUCGGUACAAAGGGUUGCCAAGCCGCGAGGUGGAGCUAAUCCCAUAAAACCGAUCGUAGUCCGGAUCGCAGUCUGCAACUCGACUGCGUGAAGUCGGAAUCGCUAGUAAUCGUGAAUCAGAAUGUCACGGUGAAUACGUUCCCGGGCCUU